AUGCUUCUUCAUUUUCAACAGGAUCAAUUCGUCAGUUCUGGUCAUAAUAAUUCAAGUUCAUAUUCUGGAAGGAUGUUGACCAACGAGCCUUGUAAUAAUGAGGUCAGAGAUGCUGCAAUGCAUAAUCAGUUAUCUGCUUGUAACACAAGGAAUUAUACUGCAACAUUUCCUCCAGUGCAGGCAAACUCGAAUGAUGUGCCGCUUGAUGAAACAUCUGCUUUUAACUCCGGAACUCGUGCUUCAACAUAUGUUCCAUUGCGGGAUAAUCCUACACUUGGGAGGCAAGCCCAAGAUCACAUGAAGGUGUCAUUUUCAUUGCCACUGAACACUAAAUAUCAGUAG
rnacentral:rRNA from 1 species